rnacentral:misc_RNA from 1 species
GAUGAAGAACGCAGCGAAAUGCGAUAAGUAAUGUGAAUUGCAGAUUUCAGUGAAUCAUCGAAUCUUUGAACGCACCUUGCGCCUUGUGGUAUUCCACAAGGCAUGCCCGUUUGAGUAUCAUUAAAUCAUCAACUCUAAAACCUUUGUGGUUUUUUUAGAGCUUGGUCUUGAGGGUUUUGCAGGCUUUUUUUUUUUUCGAGUCUGCUCCCUUUAAAUGCAUUAGCCAGACUUCCCUAUGCUGAACCGUCUCUUUGACGUGAUGAUUAUCUGCGUCGAAUUUUGGUUCUCGUUGGGCUUGCUUCUAAUCGUCUGUUAAAGACAAAACGGAUUUGGGUGCAUAUAUGCGCCUUUUUCCAAAACCUUUUUUGAUCUCAAAUCGGGUAGGACUACCCGCUGAACUUAAGCAUAUCAAUAAGCGGAGGA